rnacentral:rRNA from 1 species
UACGGAGGGUGCAAGCGUUAUCCGGAUUUACUGGGUUUAAAGGGUGUGUAGGCGGGCUAUUAAGUCCGGGGUGGAAAUCCCGAAAGCUCAAACUUCGGAACUGCCUUGGAUACUAAUUAGCCUUGAAUUAUGUUGAGGGUUGGCGGAAUAUAACAUGUAGCGGUGAAAUGCAUAGAUAAUGUUAUAGAACACCGAUUGCGAAGGCAGCUGACUAAACAUAUAUUGACGCUGAGGCACGAAAGCGUGGGGAUCAAACAGGA